rnacentral:tRNA from 3 species
GGGCUCUUAGCUCAGUGGAUAGAGCAACCGCCUUCUAAGCGGUCGGUCACUGGUUCGAGCCCAGUAGAGCCCG